GUGUGCACGAGCUCGUGUCGGCUGGAGGGAGGUGUGGAUCCACUACCCUUUGCUAAGGGCCACCUUGCUUCCCCAUAGGCAGAUACGUGCUCUUGCACAUGGCCUGGCCAUCUGCAGUCUAAUUCACCCUGCAUCUCACCUGAUGCCAUACCUCCCUUCCCUAAAUAAAGGAGCUGGGAAGCAGCAUGGCAUUGAGAACCAGCCCUGGGUAGCAGAUCAGAGGAGCCUGAGCUCACAUGGUCACACUAGAUGUUAAGCAGGCUUAUUUCCCCUGUGCUCUCCCAUGCUGUCCCAUCUGCACAGGCUGGUAUCUGCAUCCUUGCUUCCUGUUGAUCACACACACUUCAGUGACCCCACUGAUGGCAUCCAUCAACCAGUCAAGGCUCUACAUGUCUCCAGACAGCCGUUAUUCCAAUUCCACAUCGCUACCCUGGAAAAAAAGUCCUCAGUUCCUCUCUAGAGAGGGGUGGGAAUCAAAACAUUGACAACAAUAUACGGCCACAGCUACUAAGGUAACUUUACUGAGGAUGGGCUCGUGCCUAGCUGUACCCUGUGCCCUUUCAGUUUGCCUGAAGAGGGCAUGUGGCUCUUCUGUUCCUGUCUAAACACACAGGAAACCGGCCAGCUGCAUGAUCUGACGCUCUAAAUUUGAGCAGCAUCUUCACUGCUUCAUCCUGCCUCUGCAGAGCAGGCAGCGAGCACGCACCUGCAGCUCCGGUUUUGCCUCUUGCUGAGGUCACCAGUUUGUCAUCCGCAGCCCUGAAUGCUGCGCAGCAAGGAGGAGCACGUCUGCGAGUGCAUUCCUGCAGAAGAGGGGAAAUGCAGGGUGGAGCAGCAACCAGCAGCUGACACUGUUUGCUAUGCACUUGCUCACCACGAGGCUCAGGACGCUGCCCGCUCCUUGAAUGUUUCCUUGAUUACUUAUUCCCAGCAUACUCACACACACAAACACACACUCACCCGCUUCUCUCAGAAGACUGGAAGGACGGGCUACCAGGAAAACAAUAGCAUUUCUCCCACUCGCAGCUGUGUGACAUUUGUUUUUGUUUCUCCAGGUGGCUUUUCUGUGCUAGCAGAACAUCUCACUCCUCAGAUUUUGACUUCUCUUGCCUCUUCUUGUCGGUGUUGGACACGGCCAUCAGUAGACACAGUUCUGAGCAAUCACCGAGGAAGGUUUUUCUUAUGCACUGUGGUAAUUGUGUCAGAACUCAAGGCAGUCCCACCGGUGUUCAGGUUUCAUCUGCCAUUCCCAGAGGAUUUCAUUACUCCCGCACAACCCUUUUUUCCUAGCAAGAUUUCACAUUGCCAGCGUGGACUUACCAAAUUGAUUCCCCGGAAGAAAAUAUCACGAUUAUAUUCACAAAGCUGAGAGGAAGACAGCCACUUUUUAUUCGCUCAUAAAGGAUGUGGGAGUCCUGGGUUUAAUUUCCUCCUCUGCCUGGGGGAACUAGAACCAGCAUCACUUAUCUCCCAAGAGAAUGCCAUAAGGUUGUGCUGUGCUGCAUACUAAGAACCUCACAGGACUGUGCCCCGUUGGCCACCAGACUAGAGGGACAGCCUCUCAGCUCCACUAUCCCCCUGUGAGUGGGAUCCCUUCUUCUCACUUCUCUUUUGGGUGCUUGAAUGUUUUGCUUUCAAUUAAAUGCAAUUUUCACUGUGAAAUACAGCUAUUCCUUUGCAGUUUUUCAGCAAGAGACAUAAAACCUAACCAGACUCAUCUGUUCCUACUGAGGUGAUGUUUUCUUCUUUCCUGCUGAACCAAACAGCACUUAUUCAUAUCUCGCUGCUAUUUUUAAGAGUGGGGCCCAGCUGUAUGGCAUUCAGAAGCACCACUAAAACUUCAACAGCAGAGUACACAUCAUAGUACAUUCUGGUUAGAGAAAUGACUGGCAGUCAUUUUUGCAAUGAGUGCUGUCUGUAUCGAUGCAUGUGUGCGUAUUUAUUACAUUAGUCACCUCCGCUACUAGAAUGACUUGCAAUUAAGAUUGCUGUAGUACCUGAAAUGUCACAUUGCUUGC
ensembl:lncRNA